rnacentral:rRNA from 1 species
GACGAACGCUGGCGGCGUGCUUAACACAUGCAAGUCACGGGGGGGCCGGCAAGGCUCAACCGGCGAACGGGUGCGUAACACGUGAGCGACCUGCCCCGGUCAGGGGGGAGUAGCCGGCCCAACGGCCGGGUAAUACCGCAUACGCUUUCCGCCCCGCAUGGGGUGGGCAAGGAAAGCUCCGGCGGACUGGGAGGGGCUCGCGGCCUAUCAGCUAGUUGGCGGGGUGACGGCCCACCAAGGCGGCGACGGGUAGCNGGUCUGAGAGGAUGGCCAGCCACAUUGGGACUGAGAGACGGCCCAGACUCCUACGGGAGGCAGCAGUGGGGAAUCUUGCGCAAUGGCCUGACGGCUGACGCAGCGACGCCGCGUGUGGGAGGACGCCCC